AGUGAACGCUGGCGGUAGGCCUAACACAUGCAAGUCGAACGGCAGCACAGUAAGAGCUUGCUCUUACGGGUGGCGAGUGGCGGACGGGUGAGGAAUACAUCGGAAUCUACUUUUUCGUGGGGGAUAACGUAGGGAAACUUACGCUAAUACCGCAUACGACCUACGGGUGAAAGCAGGGGAUCUUCGGACCUUGCGCGAUUGAAUGAGCCGAUGUCGGAUUAGCUAGUUGGCGGGGUAAAGGCCCACCAAGGCGACGAUCCGUAGCUGGUCUGAGAGGAUGAUCAGCCACACUGGAACUGAGACACGGGCCAGACUCCUACGGGAGGCAGCAGUGGGGAAUAUUGGACAAUGGGCGCAAGCCUGAUCCAGCCAGACCGCGUGGGUGAAGAAGGCCUUCGGGUUGUAAAGCCCUUUUGUUGGGAAAGAAAAGCAGCAGGUUAAUACCCCGCUGUUCUGACGGUACCCAAAGAAUAAGCACCGGCUAACUUCGU
rnacentral:rRNA from 1 species